AACGCACAUUGCGCCCGCUAGUAUUCUGGCGGGCAUGCCUGUUCGAGCGUCAUUUCAACCAUCAAGCCCUAGGCUUGUGUUGGGGCCCUGCGGCCGUCCGCAGCCCCCUAAAAACAGUGGCGGGCUCGCUAUAUACCGAGUGCAGUAGUUUACUCUUCGCUCAGGGCAUGUAGUGGGUUCUUGCCGUAAAACCCCCCAUUUUUUAAGGUUGACCUCGGAUCAGGUAGGAAUACCCGCUGAACUUAA
rnacentral:misc_RNA from 1 species